GACGAACGCUGGCGGCGUGCUUAACACAUGCAAGUCGAACGAAGAGCGAUGGAAGCUUGCUUCUAUCAAUCUUAGUGGCGAACGGGUGAGUAACGCGUAAUCAACCUGCCCUUCAGAGGGGGACAACAGUUGGAAACGACUGCUAAUACCGCAUACGAUCCAAUCUCGGCAUCGGGACUGGAUGAAAGGUGGCCUCUAUUUAUAAGCUAUCACUGAAGGAGGGGAUUGCGUCUGAUUAGCUAGUUGGAGGGGUAACGGCCCACCAAGGCGAUGAUCAGUAGCCGGUCUGAGAGGAUGAACGGCCACAUUGGGACUGAGACACGGCCCAGACUCCUACGGGAGGCAGCAGUGGGGAAUCUUCCGCAAUGGACGAAAGUCUGACGGAGCAACGCCGCGUGAGUGAUGACGGCCGUCGGGUUGUAAAGCUCUGUUAAUCGGGACGAAUGGUUCUUGUGCGAAUAGUGCGAGGAUUUGACGGUACCGGAAGAGAAAGCCACGGCUAACUACGUG
rnacentral:rRNA from 1 species